UAUGCUUCAUUUCAUAGUUUUAUGCCUUCUUUUUUUAUGCUUGGUUAUGCUUUAGAGUCUUUUUCUAGAAGAUACUUCAAUGUAUUCUUCCUUUCUAACAAUUUUUUCCCUUUAUUUCUCCCGCUCUUAAUUUUGACUGACCAGAAAUCACAAAAAAUCCUGAAAUUUAAAAUUUUUUGAAAUUCAAAUUAACCUAUAUGUCAUAUUCUCCAAUUCUUCAACUCUCUAAAUCUUCCUUUCUUCUAUUACGAGCUUGAUAUUAAAGAAGGAAGAAGGUAGAGAACAGAAUCCAUGGACGCACAAGACUGUUGAUGCCGCCGCACCUCAUGGCUCCAACGUUCAGUGGAAUCGUGGUGAUUAAAGAGACAGCAACGGUGGUGGUAGGGGUUAUGGCGGUGGAUGAGGUGGGACCGCUAUGGUGGUGGAGGAGGCUUGGUGGUGGUGGUUGCAAUGGUCACGAUAGAGUUCGUGGUGGUUGUUAAUGUGGUGGUGGUUGGUACGGAGGAGGAAGAAGAGAGUAGAUCAAAGAACGAAUUGAGCGGCAGGCACAGAGAGCACAUGCAGCGAGACUAAGAAAGCAGAGAGCACAGCAGCAGCGACAAGAACAUAGCGGUGAGAUCUAACCGGCAGCCAAUCCAGCUGCGGGUUCCGUAAUUUUCAGCAGCUUUAUGUGAUCUUUUCUGUGAAGCAUAUUAUGCUACUUCCGCAACGCAAAAUCGCUCAUCUCCCCUCAAAGAUAUCAUACUAUACAGUAUCCAGAACCAAACCUUGAGUUUCAGUUCAAUUUUAGUUCCACAAAAGGCUCAACCACAGAAGAAACAAACUGGUACAUAUAUACUAACUCCUCUUCUUUGGAUCUCUCUUUUAAGUUGGUGAUAGUUAAUGGAGUAUACUUCGAGCUUUAUUUAUUAUUUUUAUUUUUUCGUUCGAAUUAGUUUUGAGACAGAUUCCCAUACCAGAGAGUUUUGAUUCCCUCACCUUUCUCUUUGAAAUUUCCGCACACAGAAAGUUUAUGUAUAACAGGUGUGGAUUUGGUUUAGUAUAAUUCGGUCUCAACGCAAAAAUUCUCGAAUAACGAUUCUCUAUUUUUCUGCUUCCUUUGCUUAUUCAACUUUUUGAUCGACUCAUUCCUUGGUUCCAUUUUCUGAUUUCUGCUCUUCCCAAAUAAUGUUCAAGUUGUAUUCUUUCACGUGUUUAUUGUUAAAACAAGGUGAGAUUUCAUUUGGAUUUUGUUUAGGAUAAUCAAGAAUGCAGGGUCGAAGGACUAGAACACGAUACCGUUGCUCUUUGUUCUGGAUUCUUCAUGCACUCAUUAAAUCCAAUGAAAUAUAUAUAUAAUCAAGCUCUUCCUAUUUUCGAUACCAUGUAAUCGAGCUCUUUGAAUUAAAUUUUUUUGUUCUCUAUUUAUUUUUAUUAUCAUUUUUCUUCUUUUCUCUGAGAUUUCAAAUUUUCAAUGCUGUUUACUGUUCUGAUCGGCUUAUGUUUCCUUGAAAUCCGAGGUUGGAAAAGCUGGUGGUGUCAGAUAGAAGUCCAUGUCCGAUGCUAUGAACAAAGCAAACAUGUUCUCUGAUUCUUUUAUUAUUCUUCUUUCUUCGGAUAACAAUUAUUUCCAAUUUUUUUGUUGUUGUUUUAGGAUUUAUUCUCUAAUUCAUUAUAUUAUCAUUUUUCAGGAAAAAAAGCUUCAUACCAAGCAAAUGCUGGAGAACUGACUAGCAUAUGAGGACGAUAUAAGGGCCUACAACAAAGAAUUGAAUGAGGGUGGAGAUUCUAAUAAGUCAAAAUCUAUGGUGAAUGACGAUUAUAAUGAUGAAGAGAGGAUGAGUGAAGUAGUUGCUAUGGUGAAAGAAGAGGCCUUGAAGUGGGAGGAAAUAAUUUCAUUCAUCAUCAAUCUUCAUAUAGUUUUGGGAGUUGAUUGACAAUACAGUUUGAUCAUCUUAAUUUUAUUUUACCUCAACUUUAUUUAUUUUUAACUUUAAAAGAGAUUUAGUCUAUAUGUCAAAUAAGGUUUAUAAUUCAUAUUAAUUGUUAUACUUAGGAGUACUAAAUUUUCUUAGGAUACUAUUGAAAGGAAUUUUUGGCAAACUAAUUUUACUAAUUAAUUCUUUUUUAUUUA